rnacentral:rRNA from 1 species
CGGGAAACCUCACCAGGCCCGGACACCGGAAGGAUUGACAGAUUGAGAGCUCUUUCUUGAUUCGGUGGGUGGUGGUGCAUGGCCGUUCUUAGUUGGUGGAGCGAUUUGUCUGGUUAAUUCCGAUAACGAACGAGACUCUAGCCUGCUAACUAGGCGAUUUCUGGUACCCACAAUAGUGUUACCGGCGAUUCAAUUUCUUCCUUAGAGGGACAGGCGGCUCCUAGCCGCACGAGACUGAGCAAUAACAGGUCUGUGAUGCCCUUAGAUGUCCUGGGCCGCACGCGCGCUACACUGAAGGAAUCAGCGUGUCUUCCCUGGCCGACAGGCCCGGGUAACCCGUUGAACCUCCUUCGUGCUAGGGAUUGGGGCUUGCAAUUGUUCCCCAUGAACGAGGAAUUCCCAGUAAGCGCGAGUCAUAAGCUCGCGUUGAUUACGUCCCUGCCCUUUGUACACACCGCCCGUCGCUACUACCGAUUGAAUGAUUUAGUGAGGUCUUCGGACUGGUGCGCGGCGGUCGGUCCCGCCGGCCGCCGAUGUUGCUGGAAAGAUGACCAAACUUGAUCAUUUAGAGGAAGUAAA